GUUUGGGGGGCACGUCCCAGCCCGGCUCCCCGCAGGAGCUGCGGGGAAACUUCCACGGGAAACAGAGAGGCUGGGAACAACGGGGCAGAGGAACCCACUUCACCCAGUGCUCCAGGGACGGGUGCCAGGGUCCCCAUGCCCAGGGAAGCCUUUUGCUUCCCGGCAUCCCGAGAUUGUCCAGCAGAGCCCCAGAGCAGUCACGGCUGUGAGUGCCGGGAGCGAGGGCUCGCUUUGCUCUGCAGCUGGUUGAAGAUGUCUGGGCUGCACCUCACAUCUGCCAGGACAAGAUGUUAACCUACCCCCACGGGCAUGGCUGCUCUCUAAAAUGAUGUCAGUGAGGCUGAAUGAAGAUAUUAGCUGUCUCCACAACUCCUUCCUGCCUUACACCUUGAUCCCAGAAUGUCCUGGCAGUGGAGGGAAGCUGCCUGGUGGACGGGGCCAGGGAUGUUGGGCUGCACCACCUGGCCCUGCUCCCUCCAGCACACACCCUGGUGUGGGGUGAAAUCCCCUCUGUGAUGUCCAGCAGUGGUGGUGGGACUCUCUCCUGUCACAGCCAAGCUCCCUGAUUUGCAUUCCCAGAGAAAGGCCUGCAGGUGAUGAAAGGGUUAAGACAGAUGUGCACAUCUGCAAUCUUCAACACCCAGAGGACUCCCUUUCCCACGAACAGCCCCUGCACAGCCUGCAAGCCCAGGGCUACUACUUGUACUCCCUUUUGGACCUGUUACCAGCACCACCAGCCUCUGCCACGCUCCUGCACCUGAUGCAAGCCCCGCCACCCGUGCCAGUGGCACCCCUGCUCUGUCUCCUGCCUGUGGCUCUAGCGUGGCUGUCACUUUCCCUCUCUGCUUCCAUCCCACCAGGCGUGGCAGAUCUUCCUGCACGCAGCACAGCCACCACACAUCAGGCUGGCAGCAGCCCCUCCCCACCACGCUGGGCUGGCAGCACUCCUCCUGAGAUGCCCAGCAGGGCUGGCACAGGCUGCUCUGCAAAUGAUGGGUGCUGAGGGGAGGCAAGACCCACAUCCCCCCACUUCAGCAAGUACCACAAAUACCAAUUUCUGAGAAACCUCCACCCAGCACCCCGGCAGGAAACCCAACCUCAAUCUGCUUACGCUGCAGCUGCAUGCAGAUUUCUGCCAGAUUACACCACUUUUUAUGACUUAUUAAAGCUUUAACCCCUAUCAAUGGGCAUUAGUGUUUUAAUCUCUCUAAUCUCCAGGAAAAUCCAAUGCUAG
rnacentral:lncRNA from 1 species